CAGGAAUCUUUUACAGCAUGUAAAAAUAAGGUCAGUGUGCUAGCUAUAUUUGGCAUUCACUACAGAAGAACCCAUGUAGCAUAGAACAGAUGCUUUAAAUGAGAAUGAAAUUAUACGUCUACAAAGGUACCAAAAAGCUGGAGUUCUAAAGUACAGCCCCUGCUGAAGAGAGAUGUGUAGCUAUAUGUUGAUAGUCCUGUAGACAGUACAAGGAUUUCUUCAUCUUUUCUUUGACGGGUUCACCUUUUUGACCCUACCAUUGCAAUUGCUUCUACCAUCAGCAAUUCCUUCAAAGGUUGCAUCUAAGCUUACCUGCAAGAGAACACCAGGAGACACCCUGGAUCCUGCUCCUUGGAUAACAAGAUCAUGUGCUUAGAUUUCACCUACACAGAGACAGGCAUGUGGGAAACUGCUGGUACAUAUCCAGACAGUACACUAAUGGGAAUCCAGGAUGUGAUAUCUGCAUCUGGGAAUUCAGAAACAUUCCUGGACUUUACGAUUCAGGCAUCACUGGUGACAGUGUCCUGCUGUGCUGUGUCCUCCUGUGGUCUUGUUUACCAUUUUCCUGGCGUGUGUGCGCAUACACUGUUUGAAAUCUGUGGACACUGGUUGUGGAUUCAGCACCCAGAAAGCCGGUUGGAUCCAGACACCUUACUGAAGCUGCCCACAGGAGCAGUCUUGUAUCAUUCAACUGUACUCCUAAUUUCCUGCAUUUCCAGCAAAAUGAGAUCUACUAUAUCCAAGUCCUGUUACAUGCACAGUGCUUUUUUGUUUUUGAGGUCUUCUGAAACACUGAUGCUCUGGCGUUUGACUGCACAACUUUUACCACAGUGGACACUUUGAUCUGGAUGACUUUCCUCUGUACGGUGUCUACUUUUUGGAACUAAGUAGGAAUUUAAUCCUUUUGAACUUCUUACUUUUCUAUUAGGAUUUGUUGAAAUUACACAAGAGAUUUGGCAAAAGGGAACAAACUAAGAGACUGGUUUGGAGAAGUUGGAAUCACGUAUGCUUUCUUUCUUUUUUCUUUCGUUUUUCUUUUCUUUUUUUUUUUUCCAAAAAAAUAUGUUAAAAAUUCACAAUUUACUUCUUAUUUUUAAACAGUUUAUCAGAUUGUUUAAAUUUAAGGUGGUGAAGAUACUCCUCUAAAUGUUGGUUAGUAUAACUGAAGUCCAAAAUACACAGAAAUUGAGACAGCAUCAGAGUUAUUCUUGAUGAUUGAUUUAAAACUGCAAGCACCUUUUGUUUGGUCUUCACCAUCAGCAAAAAAAAUGUGUUUGAUUACAAAACAUUCAGAAUAAGUAAUUUUUUCAUUGUUGAAUGUAUCACUGAAUAUCUACUGUACAGCAAGAGACAAACUAUUUCUGAAGAGGAUGAUAAAAUGCAACGUGUCAUUGAAAAGAUCUGACAAGUACAGACAGCUGUCACCCUCAAAUAAACAGAAAGAUUAAUAUAUGAAAUUAUGAAUGGUGCUUUGUUUCAUUUCUAAGUAUAACAUCUUCAUUAUAUGAGACAACAAUUUGAAGCAACAAUGCAGCAAUUUACAUAGGAGAUUUUGUUCUUGUGAGAACUACUUGCAAAACCAUCUUCCAAGGCAGUGGAGAUGGGGCUCGUGAACAGUGACAAAAGCAGAAAAUGCCAUCUGUCAAUAUCGGUCAGACUAGCUUUAAAUUCUCGAGAAACAGAACAACAAAGGGGAUUCAGAUUUGAAUUUUGUGCCUCACAAUAUGCCAGGUGUUUUCAUCCAUCUAGUUAUGGUUUACUCAAAUAAAUUGAAUUUUUCUUCAUAUUUAGAAGUUUGAUAGGGGUACAAUUUUCCCAUCCAGCUUUUGCUCUGAAUCAACUGAGUUUUACCAUGAUGGAAAUUGUAACUCAUUCUUUUAAGAACUAUGGUUUUUUUUGUUUGUUUGUUUGUUUGUUUUUUAUCAUCUUGAGUGCACUAUCAUCUGCACUGAUCAGAUGGGCUCCUUACCAAUGCUAA
ensembl:lncRNA